UUCCCCCAGUAGCGGCGAGCGAACGGGGAGCAGCCCAGAGCCUGAAUCAGUGUGUGUGUUAGUGGAAGCGUCUGGAAAGGCGCGCGAUACAGGGUGACAGCCCCGUACACAAAAAUGCACAUGCUGUGAGCUCGAUGAGUAGGGCGGGACACGUGGUAUCCUGUCUGAAUAUGGGGGGACCAUCCUCCAAGGCUAAAUACUCCUGACUGACCGAUAGUGAACCAGUACCGUGAGGGAAAGGCGAAAAGAACCCCGGCGAGGGGAGUGAAAAAGAACCUGAAACCGUGUACGUACAAGCAGUGGGAGCCUCUUUAUGGGGUGACUGCGUACCUUUUGUAUAAUGGGUCAGCGACUUAUAUUCUGUAGCAAGGUUAACCGAAUAGGGGAGCCGAAGGGAAACCGAGUCUUAACUGGGCGUUAAGUUGCAGGGUAUAGACCCGAAACCCGGUGAUCUAGCCAUGGGCAGGUUGAAGGUUGGGUAACACUAACUGGAGGACCGAACCGACUAAUGUUGAAAAAUUAGCGGAUGACUUGUGGCUGGGGGUGAAAGGCCAAUCAAACCGGGAGAUAGCUGGUUCUCCCCGAAAGCUAUUUAGGUAGCGCCUCGUGAAUUCAUCUCCG
rnacentral:rRNA from 1 species